rnacentral:rRNA from 1 species
CCUACGGGAGGCUGCAGUGGGGAAUAUUGGACAAUGGGGGGAACCCUGAUCCAGCCAUGCCGCGUGUGUGAAGAAGGCCCUCGUGUUGUAAAGCACUUUCAGUGAGGAAGAACGCCUGGUGGUUAAUACCCAUCAGGAAAGACAUCACUCACAGAAGAAGCACCGGCUAACUCCGUGCCAGCAGCCGCGGUAAUACGGAGGGUGCGAGCGUUAAUCGGAAUUACUGGGCGUAAAGCGCGCGUAGGUGGCUUGAUAAGCCGGUUGUGAAAGCCCCGGGCUCAACCUGGGAACGGCAUCCGGAACUGUCAAGCUAGAGUGCAGGAGAGGAAGGUAGAAUUCCCGGUGUAGCGGUGAAAUGCGUAGAGAUCGGGAGGAAUACCAGUGGCGAAGGCGGCCUUCUGGACUGACACUGACACUGAGGUGCGAAAGCGUGGGUAGCAAACAGGAUUAGAUACCCGAGUAGUC